rnacentral:rRNA from 1 species
CCUACGGGAGGCUGCAGUGGGGAAUAUUGCACAAUGGGGGAAACCCUGAUGCAGCGACGCCGCGUGAAGGACGAAGUAUUUCGGUAUGUAAACUUCUAUCAGCAGGGAAGAAAAUGACGGUACCUGAGUAAGAAGCCGCGGAUAACUACGUGCCAGCAGCCGCAGUAAUACGUAGGGGGCAAGCGUUAUCCGGAUUUACUGGGUGUAAAGGGAGCGUAGGCGGUUUAGCAAGUCAGAAGUGAAAGCCCGGGGCUUAACGCCGGGACUGGUUUUGAAACUGUUUGACUAGAUUGCAGGAGAGGUAAGUGGAAUGCCUAGUGUAGCGGUGAAAUGCGUAGAUAUUAGGAGGAACACCAGUGGCGAAGGCAGCUUACCGGCCUGUAAAUGACGCUGAGGCUCGAAAGCGUGGGGAGCAAACAGGAUUAGAUACCCGAGUAGUC